GGAAGUAAAAGUCGUAACAAGGUCUCCGUUGGUGAACCAGCGGAGGGAUCAUUACAGAGUUACACAACUCACCAAACCAUUGUGAACCGACCCUUCUGUUGCUUCGGCGGGAGGCGCCUCGGCGCCCCUCGGCCGAUCCCCCCGGCCCCCGCGGCGUGGGGGGAGGCUCCCGCCGGAGGAAUACCCCAAACCCUUUGCAGCACAUGGCCUCUCUGAGUUUAUGUACUGAAUAAGUCAAAACUUCCAACAACGGAUCUCUUGGUUCUGGCAUCGAUGAAGAACGCAGCGAAAUGCGAUAAGUAAUGUGAAUUGCAGAAUUCAGUGAAUCAUCGAAUCUUUGAACGCACAUUGCGCCCGCCGGUAUUCCGGCGGGCAUGCCUGUUCGAGCGUCAUUUCAACCAUCAAGCCCUGGGCUUGUGUUGGGGACCUGCGGCUGCCGCAGGCCCUGAAAUGCAGUGGCGGGCUCGCAAGACACACCGAGCGUAGUAGCUUACAACCUCGCUUUGGGAGUGCUGCGGGUGCUGGCCGUAAAGCGACCUUUGCGUCUUUAGCACUAGGUUGACCUCGGAUCAGGUAGGAGGACCCGCUGAACUUAAGCAUAUUAGUCAGCGGAGGA
rnacentral:rRNA from 1 species